rnacentral:rRNA from 1 species
UACGAAUGGUACAAGCGUUAUUCAGGUGUAUUGGGCGUAAAGGGUAUGUAGGUGGUUUCUUAGACUUUUUGUUAAAUGCUGGAGUCAUAACUGUAGCAAUGCAAUUUAAGAUUUUUUAACUAUGAGUUAAUGUGAGGUAGGAGGAAUCUCUAGUGUAACGAUAAAAUGUGCUCGAUAUUAGACAGAACUCCGAAAGCGAAGGCAUCUUUCCGAUGUUAACUGACGCUAAGAUACGAAGGCAUGGGUAGCAAACAGG